rnacentral:ncRNA from 1 species
UAAUUUUGAACGAAAGGGAAUACGGUUCCGUAACCUGUUGAGUAUCCGUUUGUUAUUAAAUUUGGGCCUCGUGCUCAUCCUGGCAACAGGAACGACCAUAAAGAAGCCGUCGAGAGAUAUCGGAAGAGUUUUCUUUUCUGUUUUAUAGCCGUACUACCAUGGAAGUCUUUCGCAGAGAGAUAUGGUAGAUGGGCUAGAAGAGCAUGACAUACACUGUUGUGUCGAAAUUUUCUCCUCGGACCUUGAAAAUUUAUCCGCAGCUGGUCUCCAAGGUGAAGAGUCUCUAGUCGAUAGAAUAAUGUAGGUAAGGGAAGUCGGCAAAUUAGAUCCGUAACUUCGGGAUAAGGAUUGGCUCUGAAGAUUGAGAUAGUCGGGCUUGAUUGGGAAACAAUAACAUGGUUUAUGUGCUCGUUCUGGGUAAAUAGAGUUUCUAUCAUUUAUGGUAGUUACUUGUUCCCCGGAUAGUUUAGUUACGUAGCCAAUUGUGGAACUUUCUUGCUAAAAUUUUAAAGAAUACUAAUUGGGUUAAACCAGUUAGUUCUUAUUAAUUAUAACGAUUAUCAAUUAACAAUCGGACGGGACUUGGGUAAUCCGACUGUCUAAUUAAAACAAAGCAUUGUGAUGGCCCUAGCGGGUGUUGACACAAUGUGAUUUCUGCCCAGUGCUCUGAAUGUCAAAGUGAAGAAAUUCAAGUAAGCGCGGGUCAACGGCGGGAGUAACUAUGACUCUCUUACGUGAAGCGGAACUUUUUCGUCCCCAACACGGCUGGGUGUGUCAGCCCACGCGUUUGCUAACAGGUCAAGAUUAUCGAAACGGUAUCAAGCUGCGAAUAAAUGCCCUACCAUCGAGGUCUCUUACCACGAGGGGCAGAAAUGAAUUGGAACGGCAAUGUCGU